AGCGAACGCUGGCGGCAGGCCUAACACAUGCAAGUCGAACGAACCUUUCGGGGUUAGUGGCGGACGGGUGAGUAACACGUGGGAACGUGCCUUUAGGUUCGGAAUAACUCAGUGAAACUUGUGCUAAUACCGAAUGUGCCCUUCGGGGGAAAGAUUAAUCGCCUUUAGAGCGGCCCGCGUCUGAUUAGCUAGUUGGUUGAGGUAAUGGCUCACCAAGGCGACGAUCAGUAGCUGGUCUGAGAGGAUGAUCAGCCACAUUGGGACUGAGACACGGCCCAAACUCCUACGGGAGGCAGCAGUGGGGAAUCUUGCGCAAUGGGCGAAAGCCUGACGAAGCCAUGCCGCGUGAAUGAUGAAGGUCUUAGGAUUGUAAAAUUCUUUCACCGGGGACGAUAAUGACGGUACCCGGAGAAGAAGCCCCGGCUAACUUCGUG
rnacentral:rRNA from 1 species